rnacentral:rRNA from 1 species
GCUCGUAGUUGAAUUUUGGCCUCAGUCAGCCGGUCCGCCGAAAAGCGAGUACUGUCCUGCCUGGGGUCCACCUUUUGGCGACGCGGUCUGCCCUUCAUUGGGUGGGCCGCGCGGCCAAAACUUUUACUUUGAAAAAAUUAGAGUGUUCAAAGCAGGCUUACGCUUGAAUACAUUAGCAUGGAAUAAUAGAAUAGGACUUUGGUUCUAUUUUGUUGGUUUAAAGAACCGAAGUAAUGAUUAAUAGGGACAGUUGGGGGCAUUAGUAUUUCAGGGCUAGAGGUGAAAUUCUUGGAUUCCUGAAAGACUAACUACUGCGAAAGCAUCUGCCAAGGAUGUUUUCAUUAAUCAAGGACGAAAGUUAGGGGAUCGAAAACGAUUAGAUACCGUUGUAGUCUUAACCAUAAACUAUGCCGACUCAGGAUCAGUGGACGUUUUUUUGACUCCAUUGGCACUGUAGGAGAAAUCAAAGUUUUUGGGCUCCGGGGGGAGUACGGAUCGCAAGACUGAAACUUAAAGGAAUUGACGGAAGGGCACCACCAGGAGUGGAGCCUGCGGCUUAAUUUGACUCAACACGGGGAAACUCACCAGGUCCAGACAUAGUAAGGAUUGACAGAUUGAGAGCUCUUUCUUGAUUCUAUGGGUGGUGGUGCAUGGCCGUUCUUAGUUGGUGGAGUGAUCU